rnacentral:rRNA from 1 species
GAUGAACGCUAGCGGCAGGCCUAAUACAUGCAAGUCGAACGGGAUCAGGGAGCUUGCUCCCUGUGAGAGUGGCGCACGGGUGCGUAACACGUAUGCAACCUACCUUCAACUGGGGGAUGGCCUUCCGAAAGGAAGAUUAAUACCGCAUAACAUAAUUGAAUGGCAUCAUUUGAUUAUCAAACGUCAGGGUUGAAGAUGGGCAUGCGUCCGAUUAGCUAGUUGGUGUGGUAACGGAACACCAAGGCGACGAUCGGUAGGGGAUCUGAGAGGAUGACCCCCCACACUGGUACGGAGACACGGACCAGACUCCUACGGGAGGCAGCAGUAAGGAAUAUUGGUCAAUGGACGCAAGUCUGAACCAGCCAUGCCGCGUGCAGGAUGACGGUCCUAUGGAUUGUAAACUGCCUUUGUACAGGAAGAAACACUGGUUCGUGAACCAGCUUGACGGUACUGUAAGAAUAAGGAUCGGCUAACUCCGUGCCAGCCGCCGCAGUAACAC